rnacentral:rRNA from 1 species
AUACCGCAUAAAGUUGAGAGACCAAAGUACGGUUCCGCAAGGACGUGCGCCAUUUGAUGAACCCAUAUGGGAUUAGCUAGUUGGUGUGGUAAAGGCUCACCAAGGCGACGAUCUCUAGCUGGUCUGAGAGGAUGACCAGCCACACUGGAACUGAGACACGGUCCAGACUCCUACGGGAGGCAGCAGUGGGGAAUAUUGCACAAUGGGGGGAACCCUGAUGCAGCCAUGCCGCGUGUAUGAAGAAGGCCUUCGGGUUGUAAAGUACUUUCGGUAGUGAGGAAGUUGUGUGUAUGAAAAGUGCAUGCAGUUGACGUUAGCUACAGAAGAAGCACCGGCUAACUCCGUGCCAGCAGCCGCGGUAAUACGGAGGGUGCGAGCGUUAAUCGGAAUGACUGGGCGUAAAGGGCAUGUAGGCGGAUAAUUAAGUUAGGUGUGAAAGCCCCGGGCUCAACCUGGGAAUUGCACUUAAAACUGGUUAUCUGGAGUAUUGUAGAGGAAGGUAGAAUUCCACGUGUAGCGGUGAAAUGCGUAGAGAUGUGGAGGAAUACCGGUGGCGAAGGCGGCCUUCUGGACAGAUACUGACGCUGAGAUGCGAAAGCGUGGGGAGCAAACAGGAUUAGAUACCCUGGUAGUCCACGCUGUAAACGAUGUCGAUUUGGAGUUUGUUGCCCUGAGUGAUGGGCUCCGAAGCUAACGCGAUAAAUCGACCGCCUGGGGAGUACGGCCGCAAGGUUAAAACUCAAAUGAAUUGACGGGGGCCCGCACAAGCGGUGGAGCAUGUGGUUUAAUUCGAUGCAACGCGAAGAACCUUACCUGGUCUUGACAUCCACAGAAUCUGGCAGAGAUGCUGGAGUGCCUUCGGGAACUGUGAGACAGGUGCUGCAUGGCUGUCGUCAGCUCGUGUUGUGAAAUGUUGGGUUAAGUCCCGCAACGAGCGCAACCCUUAUCCUUUGUUGCCAUCGAUUAGGUCGGGAACUCAAAGGAGACUGCCGUUGAUAAAGCGGAGGAAGGUGGGGACGACGUCAAGUCAUCAUGGCCCUUACGACCAGGGCUACACACGUGCUACAAUGGCGUAUACAAAGGGAGGCGACCUCGCGAGAGCAAGCGGACCUCAGAAAGUACGUCUAAGUCCGGAUUGGAGUCUGCAACUCGACUCCAUGAAGUCGGAAUCGCUAGUAAUCGUGAAUCAGAAUGUCACGGUGAAUACGUUCCCGGGCCUUGUACACACCGCCCG